UACGGGGGGGGCGAGCGUUGUUCGGAAUUACUGGGCGUAAAGGGCUCGUAGGUGGCCAACUAAGUCAGACGUGAAAUCCCUCGGCUUAACCGGGGAACUGCGUCUGAUACUGGAUGGCUUGAGAUUGGGAGAGGGAUGCGGAAUUCCAGGUGUAGCGGUGAAAUGCGUAGAUAUCGAGAGGAACACCUGCGGCGAAGGCGGGUUGCUGGGCUGACACUGACGCUGAUGUGCGAAAGCUAGGGGAGCGAACGGG
rnacentral:rRNA from 1 species